UAUGGCCAUACCACCCUGAACGUGCCUGAUCUCAUCUGAUCUCAGAAGCUAAGGAGGGUCAGGCCUGGUUAGUAUUUGAAUGAGAAAAAGUCUCCAUCCUAU
rnacentral:rRNA from 1 species